rnacentral:rRNA from 1 species
CCUACGGGCGGCAGCAGUGGGGAAUAUUGGACAAUGGGGGGAACCCUGAUCCAGCCAUGCCGCGUGUGUGAAGAAGGCCCUCGGGUUGUAAAGCACUUUCAGUGAGGAAGAACGCCUGGUGGUUAAUACCCAUCAGGAAAGACAUCACUCACAGAAGAAGCAACGGCUAACUCCGUGCCAGCAGCCGCGGUAAUACGGAGGGUGCGAGCGUUAAUCGGAAUUACUGGGCGUAAAGCGCGCGUAGGUGGCUUGAUAAGCCGGUUGUGAAAGCCCCGGGCUCAACCUGGGAACGGCAUCCGGAACUGUCAAGCUAGAGUGCAGGAGAGGAAGGUAGAAUUCCCGGUGUAGCGGUGAAAUGCGUAGAGAUCGGGAGGAAUACCAGUGGCGAAGGCGGCCUUCUGGACUGACACUGACACUGAGGUGCGAAAGCGUGGGUAGCAAACAGGAUUAGAUACCCUUGUAGUC